AUGUUAACAGAGGAGGAGUUUGAGGCCGGAUGGGAUGAAAUGUUGGAGAAGUAUUCUCUCCGCAAACAUCCUUUCCUGACGCAGAUAUACGAGGUUCGCCAUAAGUGGGCGAAGCCGUACUUUAGAGGUGUGUUUUGUGCAAAAAUGACCAGCACUCAGCGUAGCGAGAGCGCAAACCACCUCCUCAAGGGCUACGUCCCUCCUGGGUGUCCCAUGCAUUUGUUUUUGAGGCAGUUUGAGAAGCUCCAAUUUGACAGGGAGUCCGAGGAGAGCUUCCAAGAGAAAAGAACAUCCCUGAGUGGUGUUUCUCUAAAAGUAAAUCUGCCUAUCGAGAGGCAUGCAAGCAAGGUUUACACAAGGGCCGUGUUUGAACAGUUUGGUGAAGCAUUGUAUAAGUCCUUUUCAUAG
rnacentral:rRNA from 1 species